rnacentral:rRNA from 1 species
CCAAUAGCGUAUAUUAAAGUUGUUGCAGUUAAAAAGCUCGUAGUUGAAUUUCGGGAUCAAUAUAUCGGUCGUGCCUUGGUACGUACUGGUAUCAUUGGUCUCUCCUUUCUGACGAACCAUGAUGUCAUUAAUUUGGUGUUAUGGGAAGUUAGGACUGUUACUUUGAAAAAAUUAGAGUGUUUAAAGCAGGCUUUGGCUUGAAUACAUUAGCAUGGAAUAAUGAAAUAGGACGUUCGAACCUAUUUUGUUGGUUUCUAGGAUCAACGUAAUGAUUAAUAGGGAUAGUUGGGGGCAUUAGUAUUCAAUUGUCAGAGGUGAAAUUCUUGGAUUUAUUGAAGACUAACUAAUGCGAAAGCAUUUGCCAAGGAUGUUUUCAUUAAUCAAGAACGAAAGUUAGGGGAUCGAAGACGAUCAGAUACCGUCGUAGUCUUAACCAUAAACUAUGCCGACUAGGGAUCGGAUGAUGUUAAUUUUUUAAUGACUCAUUCGGCGCCUUACG